AGGGUUAUAAUUUAUAAAAAUAUUUGAUUUGCACUCAAAAAAUAUUGAAAUUUCAAUUUACCUUA
rnacentral:tRNA from 1 species